AUUGAACGCUGGCGGCAUGCCUUACACAUGCAAGUCGAACGGCAGCACGGGUGCUUGCACCUGGUGGCGAGUGGCGAACGGGUGAGUAAUACAUCGGAACAUGUCCUGUAGUGGGGGAUAGCCCGGCGAAAGCCGGAUUAAUACCGCAUACGAUCUACGGAUGAAAGCGGGGGCCCUUCGGGCCUCGCGCUAUAGGGUUGGCCGAUGGCUGAUUAGCUAGUUGGUGGGGUAAAGGCCUACCAAGGCGACGAUCAGUAGCUGGUCUGAGAGGACGACCAGCCACACUGGGACUGAGACACGGCCCAGACUCCUACGGGAGGCAGCAGUGUGGAAUUUUGGACAAUGGGCGAAAGCCUGAUCCAGCAAUGCCGCGUGUGUGAAGAAGGCCUUCGGGUUGUAAAGCACUUUUGUCCGGAAAGAAAUCCUUGGCCCUAAUACGGUCGGGGGAUGACGGUACCGGAAGAAUAAGCACCGGCUAACUACGUG
rnacentral:rRNA from 1 species